rnacentral:rRNA from 1 species
GACGAACGCUGGCGGCGUGCUUAACACAUGCAAGUCGAACGGAAAGGCCCUGCUUUUGUGGGGUGCUCGAGUGGCGAACGGGUGAGUAACACGUGAGUAACCUGCCCUUGACUUUGGGAUAACUUCAGGAAACUGGGGCUAAUACCGGAUAGGAGCUCCUGCUGCAUGGUGGGGGUUGGAAAGUUUCGGCGGUUGGGGAUGGACUCGCGGCUUAUCAGCUUGUUGGUGGGGUAGUGGCUUACCAAGGCUUUGACGGGUAGCCGGGCUGAGAGGGUGACCGGCCAAAUUGGGACUGGAAUGCGGCCCAGACUCCUACGGGAGGCAGCAGUGGAGAAUAUUGCACAAUGGGCGGAAGCCUGAUGCAGCCACGCCGCGUGCGGGAUGACGGCCUUCGGGUUGUAAACCGCUUUCGCCUGUGACGAAGCGUGAGUGACGGUAAUGGGUAAAGAAGCACCGGCUAACUACGUG